rnacentral:rRNA from 1 species
CACCAGCCCCUCGAGUGGUGGGGAUGAUUAUUUGGCCUAAAGCGUCCGUAGCCGGCCGGGUAAGUUUCCCGUUAAAUCCAACGUCUCAAGCGUUGGACUGCGGGAAAUACUGCCUGGCUAGAGAGUGGGAGAGGUCAGCGGUAUUCUGGGGGUAGGGGCGAAAUCCUUUGAUCCCCGGAGGACCACCAGUGGCGAAGGCUGCUGACUAGAACACGUCUGACGGUCAGGGACGAAAGCUGGGGUAAGCGAAACCGGAUUAGAUACCCGGGUAGUCCCAGCCGUAAACGAUGCAUGCUAGGUGUGGGUUGGCCACGAGCCACCCCAGUGCCGCAGGGAAGCCGUUAAGCAUGCCGCCUGGGAAGUACGAUCGCAAGAUUAGAAACUUAAAAGGAAUUGGCGGGGGAGCACCACCAGGCGUGAAGCCUGCGGUUU